UAUCCUGUGUUUUCUGUGGAAACUUCUUACACAGCGGCACAAUCUCCAAAUGGAUCUGGAUGUAGAGCGGUGCAGUGACACGAAGGGAAGUCAGCUAACAGCUUAUUGCAAGUCCCUGAGGCAGCAGAUCAGAUGGAAACUCCUGGGCAAUCUCAGACUGACAUUCAGUGCUCCUGACAGAGAUGGCUCUGGGCUGCAGAUGUUCACGGGACCAUAUGGUAUCUGCAUAUUGUCUUGGAGAAUUAUUACGAAAUAGCCUGUUUUGGAGGGGGAAGAUAACCUGAUCAUAAAUAUUAAUCACUGCAGCUGUAGUUUGAAUGACUGUAAAAGUGUCAUAAUGGAA